rnacentral:rRNA from 1 species
UACGUAGGGUGCGAGCGUUGUCCGGAAUUAUUGGGCGUAAAGAGCUUGUAGGCGGUUUGUCGCGUCUGCUGUGAAAACCCGAGGCUCAACCUCGGGCCUGCAGUGGGUACGGGCAGACUAGAGUGCGGUAGGGGAGAUUGGAAUUCCUGGUGCAGCGGUGGAAUGCGCAGAUAUCAGGAGGAACACCGAUGGCGAAGGCAGAUCUCUGGGCCGUAACUGACGCUGAGGAGCGAAAGCAUGGGGAGCGAACAGG